GUCUCAAUCCGGACUUGCCCCCUGCUUCAGGGUUCGAUCCUGGGUUUCGCGCGCUCCCAGCCCCCAGGGCUUUCCGAAGCAUGGCCUGGCUCCAGGCCUGGUCUGCUCCGGACUGAAGCGGCAGCGAAACGUGCAGGGAUGCAGUCGCCGAGCAGCUGCGGGAGCCAAGGUCAGGCCCGCGGGGAGAGCGGGCAGUGGCUUCCAGCGCCGGCCGCGGGCGCCGGGGCCAGCUGGGCCGCAGACCCUGCGGUUUCCAGAGUGGAACCCGCGUCCUUCCUCUCGGCCAGGCCGCAGUGGCUUCCCUAGCUUCGCUUUCGUUUCCCAGGUUAUGCACAACUACCUUCCCCCAAAUCUGAGGGUCGUUCGUUGCUGCCUUUGCUCCCAGAUGUCCAGAACGCACCCCGAAAUCCUUCCCCCAAACCCUGCUUGGAUGAGAUGAGUUCCUAGUUGACCUCUGGGCCGUUGUGUGCCGGAAACGGAGGCCUGAGCCCCGCUGGGGCUGGAAGGGAAGCACAAAACUCUGAGCGCCGCGAGUUUCUUUCCGUUUGUGUCUUUUCUCUCGCAUCCCGGACGCGGGCCGCAACCACCUGGACCGGCUCACAAAGGAUUCUACAAACCCAGCUUCACAGACCGCUGCCCCUGGCGCUCCAGACCCCGCAUCACAAAUAGAACAAAACGAACACCUCAACUCGGUUGCAGACUCCCCAUUCUUUUCCCCAACAAUCUGGGCAGUAAACUCCAACACGCGCUGCUCCCCCUUAUUUCGGGGAACUGCCUCUUUCCCGACCGGCUCCCCGCUCGGUUUUCUCUCAAAGUGUAUUUUUCGCAUUUUGCAAAAUUCCUGCUCUGAUUUUCACACUGCCGUGGGUAGGAGAGCAGAGGUUCCUACUUAAAAAGCGAAGACCAAAAACAAACCAAAGAGCCGAUUGCUGUUAAUCUUUUUUGCUCUUCACUUUCUCCUUCCCUUUUUAAAAAAGUCACAUCCAAAACAACCAUGUGGCUUUUUUUCUCAAAAGAGAACUCGCUUAAAAAUACACCCCCUUCUGUUUCUCUUCCCAUGUGUCCCCACCUGACCUGGGUGCCACUGGGGGGCAAAAAGCAGAGAGAAGUGUGGAGGUGGCUGAGAACAUUAAUAAGAAUUAUAACAAUAGAAAUGAUGUCAAAACUAAAUUUUGACCAACUCAAUUUGCAAAAAAAAAAAACAGCCUGAGGCUGAGAAAUUCUCUCCUUUCUCAGGGGGUCACUUUCCCUCUCAUCUAGUUAAAUCUGGCUCUAUUAUAUUUUUUCCAGGGACACAAUAUUUCCCUUUCCAAUGUUUUAUUCAGUUCCUAGUUUCUCUUCCUUUUCGGUGGAAGUAAGUGAGGAGAGGAGGCUACAGGCCCCAGCUGGAGAGGUGCUCUGGCGUGCACGGGAGGGGGUGGAGGAGGCCAUUGCGCCUGGAGCUGUGAGUGAAAACUCCGCCAGUCUCCUCUAGUCUCCUGAUGCUGGAUUUCUGGUCUUUGGGGCAGCCCGACAGAAGGGUCCUGAAGCCCGGACCACAGAUGACUCGAUCCCCCUCCCGAAUCACAUCCGGAAAAACACUGGGGUGAAACAAGUGACAGAGGCUCGCUGUGGGGCGCAAACUGACCAAGGUUCCUGGGGGAAAAGUUCCUGGCAAUUGUUUCUGCAAGGGCCCUGAAUUUCCUGGUCACUAUGGCAAUUCCAGAGUCACGUCUAAUGCUCUCAGCAAUGGGGCACCCUGAGGACAAUUGCUUCUGAGGCCUGGAAAGCGCCUCUGCCAGUGGCUCUUGCCUUUCCUGAGCCGCCUCUGUGAAUUUAUCAGAGCAGGGAUUUUAAAACUUCCCCUUUUUAUAAACAGGGAGAAAACCGAGGUUUGGUAUUGGGUAGGUUCUGGUCUUAAGCCCCUUCUUGGAGUUCAGAGCGAUGACCCUGGAGAAGCGUGGGCUGACAAUGGGGUACCUUAAUCACCUUAAUGGAAACCACUGCAGCCAGAACAUCUCAGCCUGGGUGUAGCCAAGUGUGUUCACAUCUACUCCCCAACCCCAUCCGCGCAGGAGGCUCCCCGCAUCCAUCCAAGCAAUGCCUUUCCUUGCCCCGAGUAACUUCUCCUAAACGGAAGGAGGAAAGUCGGGCACUAGAAAUUGUGGCAUUAAUGUCUGCAAGGGCUGA